rnacentral:rRNA from 1 species
UACGAAGGGUGCUAGCGUUGCUCGGAAUCACUGGGCGUAAAGCGCACGUAGGCGGCUUUUUAAGUCAGGGGUGAAAUCCUGGAGCUCAACUCCAGAACUGCCUUUGAUACUGAGAAGCUCGAGUCCGGGAGAGGUGAGUGGAACUGCGAGUGUAGAGGUGAAAUUCGUAGAUAUUCGCAAGAACACCAGUGGCGAAGGCGGCUCACUGGCCCGGUACUGACGCUGAGGUGCGAAAGCGUGGGGAGCAAACAGG